UUCUUUAAGAUUUAAUUUAAAGUAUAACCUGCUCAAUGUAAAAAUAAAUAGCCGCAGUACUACUGUGCCAAGGUAGCAUAAUAAUUUGCUUUCUAAUUAGAAGAUAGAAUGAAGGGUUAAACAAAUAAACACUGUUUCUUCCUAAAAAAUAAAAUUAAUAUUGUGAUAAAAAAAUCAUAAUAAACAAACAAGACGACAAGACCCUAAUAAACUUAUCAUUUAGUUGGGGUGACAAAAAAAUAAAUACUUAAUAUAAAAAAUUACAAACCUUUAAAAAAUCAACGAAUAGUUACUAUAGGGAUAACAGCGCAAUAUUAUUUUAGAGCCCAUAUCAAAAAUAAAGAUUACGACCUCGAUGUUGAAUUAAUUUAUCUACAUUUACGCAAAAGUAAUGAAAGAAAGUCUGUUCGACUUAUAAUAAAUU
rnacentral:rRNA from 1 species